GUGGGAAUAUAAAUCUAGUCCCUCUUACUCUAUCCUGCCCAGAAGUGGAAAUAUGAUCCUUCCAUUAUAAAAUAAAGAAUGGUCCUAAGAUUUGAGAACUCCAAAAGGACUUAGUGUUACGGUGAACAACCAUUUGGGACUGUUUAUCUACUUGCUAUCUCUCUUUUGAGAGAGAAUAAUGUCUCAAGAGCUCCAUUCUCUGAUGCCUGCAGUAUGUUAUGAAUCAGUAGAGAAUCUUUCUGUCUGUGCUUGGAUCUUGGGAUGUGAACUUGGAAAAGCUCUAAGGCAGCCCAGGAAAAGGCAGACAAGAAACCAUCAUGAAUGGGUGCUGCAUGAGCAGAGAUUGUCAAGAAAAUGGGAUGGUAAUUUGCAUAGGUCCACAAAGCGAACAUUGAUUUGAAGUGUUCCUGUGAAUGGCCAGUAGACAGGAUAUAGAAACAGACAGGAAAUCAUAAAGUGGAGAAUGGUGUAUAAGAUGGAGUUUCAGCCUGGGGAAGUACAUAAAAUAAUGCCAUGUCAAGGUCAUAAGAACUUCGACAGUCAGGGAGAUGACAAAUAGAAAACUGAUUCAUAAAUCCUGAAAUAAAAUAUUACUACCUAAACUCUAAAUCAGAUGGCCACCAGGUCAAAAAUAAAUUACAAGGUGAAUCUAAUGUAGCUAUGUAAUUAAAAAUUGGCCAUGUUGAUGAGGCAAGAAAUUUUGGCAAUAACAGUAAUGAAGGUGUCAGGGCUCAGAAAAUGACAUGCCAAAUUAUGGCACUUUAGUGUGCUGAGUACUUUGAACUAAAGGAGAUUGGAAUGCCUCAGAAGCAAAGCCACUCUAUCCCCCACCUUUCUGUGUAGGUGUAUAGCAGAUGCAUCUGACAGCAAUAACUUAAGCAUACCCUGAGAAAGACCCUCAAGUCUAAGAAGAAUGUGUGUUUGGAGUUCUGAGCUAAGAAAUCCAGGAGUGGCAAACCUAGAGAUUCGCUCCUUGUCUAUGAAGGACAUAUGACCCCCUGGCCCAUGCCUUGGAAUGCAGGCCAUAUAGGGGAUUAAGGUCCUUUGUUUUGGGUUAUAUGGAGGUUGUUAGGUGGAGGGUGGUAGCAGGUUUUCAGUCCAGCCCACCACCACUGUACUGCCCCAUAUGUAAGUCCUCAGUAAACCCUAUGUGUCAUCUGCUGGUUCCGGGUCUCCUCUCUUCUUCCGCUUCUAGGACAUGGUGCUAUCCCUAUUGGAGUCAGUAGGUCUGGCACAACAGUAGGAGCUGGCCAUAAAGAAAUUCUCUGACCUACCUUGUCUGAUAGCAGGUCAUAAGAUCCUUAUUCCAGAGGGGUCCUGCCCCAUACCUGGGAGAAAGGAAUGCUACACAGAGGUCAAGGAGAAGCCAAACAAGCAGGACUUAAUGGGUUUCCCACUCCGUCUAUUGCCAUUAGAUCAUACAUUUUUUGUGUGGAAUCAUAUUUCUACAUGGUUGUCCAUUCUUCAUGAAAACUAAGAAUAAAAGUAGACAAUUUUCC
rnacentral:lncRNA from 10 species